CCCGGUGGCCAUAGCUGGAGUGAAACACCCGUUCCCAUUCCGAACACGGCAGUUAAGCCUCUGGCGCCGAUGGUACUAGCUAACUGCUGGGAGAGUAGGUCACUGCCGGGA
rnacentral:rRNA from 1 species